GAUUACACUUGUGGAGUGAUGAAACGGAGGCUCACAGCUACUUUCCCACCCUGGAGGAGACUCUGCCGCCUGGGUUUGGGCUAAAGUCGAGGUAGUGUGUGAAUCUGAUUUCCCCCUUUAUGUAGUAAGGUGUUUUCCACGUCUGUGGACCUGUUAUGUCAUGGCUUUGAUGAAGAAGCAUAAAAAAGAUUUGCCAAGUCGUUUCUAAUUAAACCUAAACCAACUCUUCAGCCGCGCCGCCUCAGGGACCCUAAGCCCCGCUCGGGUGGACGCCUGAAGCCGCCGCCUCCCGAGAGUCCACACCCCAUCUUGUCUCCAGCCUGUGCUGGGAAGAAGCUGAGGUCUGGAGGUCUUCCCCUAAAGGAGCACAGUCCCGGGAGCCACAGAAGGCUGCCUUGAGUGGAACUGCUUCACGGAUCAAUGCAAAGUUCCCUGUCAGGACAAAAACCUCUCAGAGGAGUCAGCAGUGUUGCUAACGGAGGCUGGCCAGGUGCUGGGUGAUAGACUGGAACUGGAGCUUGUUCUGGAUGUGGCAGAAGGGGCCUAAGAUCCUGCCCCGUCGACUCGUGCACAAUAGUGUCAUCUGAGGUUUGGACUCUCAGGCAGUUUCCCAUCUUCCUGGGUUCAGACAUGGGUCCUCAGUAUGUUUGCCAUGCUGGUAUCCAACUUCUGACCUCAAGUGAUCCUCCCGACUCAGCCUUCUAAAGUGGCGGGAUUACAGGCAUGAACCAACAUGCCCAGCCCAGAGAAAUCAACUCCUUUGUGCUGAGAUUAGUGGAGUACUAUUCAUCCAUAAAAAACAAAGAGAUCCAGUCACUUGCAACAAUAUGGACGGAACUGAAGAUCAUUAUAUUAAGUGAAUUAAGCCAGGCGCAGAAAGACAAACAUCACAUGUUCUCAGCUCCGUCUUUGCCUGAUGCCAUCCACCUAGGAUGUGACUUGCUCCUCCUUGCCUUCUGCCAUGAUUGUGAGGCCUCCCCAGCAAGGUGAAACUGUGGUGCUGUAGGAUCAAAUGCCAUCGCAAGGAGUUGCUGAUACAGGGCCCUGCUAUUUGGCACAGGAUACACUGAAACUCUGGAGGCGGCCGGUACUGAAAUUCGGCUGGCAGCUGGUAUUGACAAACUACUGGUGGUUGGGUUUUAUUUUCUACUGGCUGAUAUUGUGGAUACGGUGUCUGGAUUGGCAUUGCCGGGAUAGAGACUCUAUCCUUUUCUACUUGAUAUUCUCUUGUGGUUUGCCCUUGUCUAACCUGCAUUCGAGGUUCAAAUGUCACAGGCAUCUGAACCGUCUAACCUGCAUUUGAGGUUGUAAUGUCACAGGCAUCUGAACCGCCGGAGGAGGAGUUGAUGGCCAUUGUCGUUUAAACUCUGAUGGCCCAAAUAAUUCUGGAUCUCCUUCCCCCAAUUUUGAUGAUUCAGGAUAUAUUACCUCCUGUAAUUGAUUAUAGUCAACAUUUUGCGUUGACCGAGCCAUUACAGACUCUGCUAAAUUUUUACAAUGUGAACUUUCCUUUCCUUUCUUGAACUCUGUUCCUGCUUUUUCUUCACAAUCUAUUACAGAGCUUUCAGGGGCAUCAGAAAUUGAAACACUAUCUUCUUCUAUUUCAAACAGCUCUAAAGUUGCUUUAAUAAUGGCCCAAUCAUUCCAUACUGUAAGUGGGAUGAUUUUACCUCCCCUACUUGCUUGUUUUAAUUAUUUGCCAAUUUUUCCCCUAUCUUUUAAAUCUAAAGUUCCCUGUUCUGGAAACCAUGGGCAGAAUUGUUCUAUUGUUUGAAAUAGCGUAAUUAGAUUUUCUGUAGAAGCUUUAGCUCCCCCUCUUCUUAAGAGAAUUUUAAUGAAGCUGAGAUAAGAGGCAUAUUUACUUUCAGUUUGCCCCAUUUUUACCCUGGAUUCCUCCGAGUGCACAAGCUUACCGCAAGGCUGACCGUGGACUUACUUGGGAAUCUCGUCAGCUGUCCUCAAUGUUCACGUUCUUAGCGUACUUUCACCCUAGAGAAAGGCCCCACGUUGGGUGCCCGAUGAAGGGGUGGCCUGCCCCUCCACACCUGUGGGUAUAUCUCACCAGGUGGGAUGAGAGACUGAGAAAAGAAAUAAGACACAGAGACAAAGUAUAAAGAAACAACAGUGGGCCCAGGGGACCGGCACUCAGCAUAUGGAGGACCUGCACCGGCACCGGUCUCUGAGUUCCCUCAGUUUUUAUUGAUUAUUAUUUUCAUUAUCUCAGCAAAAGGAAUGCGGUAGGAGACCAGGGUGAUAAUAAGGAGAAGGUCAGCAAAAAAAACAUGUGAGCAAAAGAAUCUAUGUCAUAUUUAAGUUCAAGGGGAGGUAUAUGCCUGGAUGUGCACGUAGGCCAGAUUUAUGUUUCUCUCCACCCAAACAUCUCAGUGAAGAAUAACAAGGCAGCAUUGCUGCCAACAUGUCUCGCCUCCCAUCACAGGGUGGUUUUUCUCCUAUCUCAGAAUUGAACAAACGUGCAAUUGGGUUUUAUACCAAGACAUUCAGUUCUCAGGGGCAGGCAGGAGACAGUGGCCUUCCUCUUUCUCAACUGCAAGAGGCUUUCCACUUUUACGAAUCCACCUCAGCACAGACCCUUUACGGGUGUCGGGCUUGGGGACGGUCAGGUCUUUCUCAUCCCGCGAGGCCAUAUUUCAGACUAUCACAUGGGGAGAAACCUUCGACAAUACCCUGCUUUCCAGGGCAGAGGUCCCUGUGGCUUUUCGCAGUGCAUGGUGCCCCUGGUUUAUUGAGACUAGAGAAUGGCGAUGACUUUUACCAAGCAUACUGUUUGUAAACAUUUUGUUAUCAAGGCACAUCCUGCACAGCCCUAGAUCCCUUAAACCUUGAUUCUAUACAACACAUGUUUUUGUGAGCUCAAAGUUGGUCAAAGGGGCUGGGGCAAAGUUACAAAUUAACAUUUCAGCAAAGCAAUUGUUUAAGGUACAGGUCAAAAUGGAAUUUCUUGUGUCUUCCCUUUCUACACAGACACAGUAACAAUCUGAUCUCUCUUUCUUUUCCCUACAAUGUUUUAGUCAUGAAGUCUUUGCCCAUGCAUAUGUCCUGACUGGUAUUGGCUAGGUCUUCAUAAUCUACUUUUGUAACACCUUGGCAUCUAUAGAAAGUGGGAAAUGAAAAGGGAAAAGUAAGUACGCAUUUGCUAAACUUAGGCUAACUAAAACCCCUUGUAGUAAGCUUUACUAGACAUGGGGACAGCAGUAAGCAUUCAGAAAGACUCAUCCCUUGGGUGUCUUUUAGGCCAUUGGAGUAGGUUCAAAUUAUUGGACAGGUUGAAAAAGAAAAUCCUUGUUUACUAUUGCAAUAAUGUUUGGAUUCAAUAAAAAUUGAGAAACCAA